rnacentral:rRNA from 1 species
GACGAACGCUGGCGGCGUGCUUAACACAUGCAAGUCGAACGGAAAGGCCCUGCUUUUGUGGGGUGCUCGAGUGGCGAACGGGUGAGUAACACGUGAGUAACCUGCCCUUGACUUUGGGAUAACUUCAGGAAACUGUGGCUAAUACCGGAUAGGAUCUCCUGCUGCAUGGUGGGGGUUGGAAAGUUUCGGCGGUUGGGGAUGGACUCGCGGCUUAUCAGCUUGUUGGUGGGGUAGUGGCUUACCAAGGCUUUGACGGGUAGCCGGCCUGAGAGGGUGACCGGCCACAUUGGGACUGAGAUACGGCCCAGACUCCUACGGGAGGCAGCAGUGGGGAAUAUUGCACAAUGGGCGGAAGCCUGAUGCAGCAACGCCGCGUGCGGGAUGACGGCCUUCGGGUUGUAAACCGCUUUCGCCUGUGACGAAGCGUGAGUGACGGUAAUGGGUAAAGAAGCACCGGCUAACUACGUG